rnacentral:rRNA from 1 species
AGUGAACGCUGGCGGCAUGCCUAACACAUGCAAGUCGAACGGCACUUCAGUAACAGCUUGCUCUUACGCGUGCCGAGUGACGGUCGAGUGGCGAAUGCGUGGGAAACUACUGGGCCACGGGCGCUAACGUGGGGAAACACACGCGGAUACCGGAGACGAUACACCAUUACAAGAAGUACAGCUUGGUAACUUGGUCGAUGGAAUCAAUCGAUGUCGGAUUAGCUAGGUGGCGGGGUAAAGGGCGACCAAGGCGACGAUGCGUAGCUGAAUUGAGAGGAUGAUCAGCCACAUUGGGACUGAGACACGGCCCAGACUCCUACGGGAGGCAGCAGUAGGGAAUAUUCGACAAUGGGCGAAAGCCUGAUGCAGCAAUACCGCGUGGGUGAAGAAGGCCUUCGGAUCGUAAAGCCCUGUUGUUAGGAAAGAAAGUCAGCAGGUUAAACCGUCGCUGUUCUGACGGUACCCAACGAAUAAGCACCGGCUAACUUCGUG